GAUGUCACUGCUCUCUGUUCCACUUUAUACAUCUAACAAACAACACCAACCCUACUUAAGUUUUCAUGGAUUCCCGACUGAAAUGAGUCUAAGGAAGAAGUGGAUUCAAGCGGUUCGCCGGGAUGAAGGGCCAAACUUUAAAAUAAAACAAGGUAGCAUGUUUGUUUGUAGCCGGCACUUUAGUGAAUCUUAGUUUAGUGAAUCGGGUCUGUACCCUCCCGUUUCCAGUGGAACAACUGGGGACUGCCAAGAAGGGGGUCUGUUUAUAAAAGAGCAUCAACUCGCUUAGGCCAUGACGUUCACCCAUCCCUUCCCCUGGAGCAACCGCUGCCCUGUGAAUAAGAGCCGAUGGAGGAGAUCUCAGCUUCGGUGGUGAUGACAGAACAUGAUUUCGGUUCUGCUCCUAAACCAGGUGCACUGGAUGCUGCUGCUGUAAACAUACAGCAAUUGGAAGAAACAGUCAAGGAGCUGUCACAGCUGAAAGUGGUUCAAGUGCAUUUUCACAGAUUCUGUGUCUCAGACGCGGACAUCCUUUUUUACACCAGAUUCACGUCAAGAGAUGUUUUUUGUGACUUCUGGGAGGUUAUUCAACCAUCUGCCUCCAUGUUGGUUUAUUGGUCGAAAGCUCAGAAAAAGAAACAAACAUUUGAACCCAUUUCUCCCAGUCCAACGUGUAGACUGCAACUGGUUGAGUUUUUUCUCUUCUGCUGCCGGGUUGCUGCAGGCCUGCAAGAGAAGGUGCUGGCUGACAUGUUUCAGGUCAGUGUGUCCACUGUCUACCAUGUUGUUAUACCGUGGGCCAACUACCGUUACCUGCUCCUUGGCUCCCUCCCCAUCUGGAUGAGUAAACUGCAAGUCAAGAACACCAUGCCAAGAUAAUUUGUGCAGUACAGUCCAGGGGCCUCGAUGAUUACCCGAACAUCAUCUUACAAGAACACAACAACCUUUAAGGCCUUGAUUGGGAUUGCCCCUUGUAGUGCUGUGACUUUUGUGUCAAGUCUCUUCACCGGCUCCAUCUCCGACCCAGAGCUGACUGAACGAAGUGGACUGCUGGAUUUACUGGAGCCAGGAGAUGGCUGCAUGGCAGACAAGGGUUUCACCAUUGAGAAGCCACUAGCUGAUCGUGGGGCAACGCUGAUUAUACCACCCUUCAAGAUGACAGUUCACUGAAGAGGAUGCUCUGAAAACACAAGCAAUCGCUCGACUUCGAAUCCUCGUAGAAAGAGCAAUAGGCAGAGUCAAGGAAUACCGCAUCUGGGAACACACUGUCCUUUCACCUUGUCUGCGACAGUCAAUCAGCUGUGGACCGUCUGCUGUGUGAUGACCAACUUCCAGGGACCACUUGAUUUAAAAGGCUACAUCCCUGUUGAAUAGUGUUUCUACUCAAACAUGUACCUAUAAAUAUUAAAUAUAAUAUAUAAAUAUUAAAACGAGAGGCACUGAACAUUUGGAUUGGUCCCUUCAUUUUUUCCGGAGCUGUAAUUUUGUACACUGAAAACAUUGUAUAUAUUGAAUGACAUGUAAUGUAAUUGAAUGAGAAGUCUUUCAUCUAUAAUCAAUUUUAAAGUCCAGUCAGUCCAUCCUGAAAGUAUUCAAAAUAAUGUUAAUAUAUAAUGUAGUAAAUGAUGUACUCAGAAAAAGAGAAUGAAUUAAAUCCUUUUAUUCUUUCA